UGUCUAUGUAUUUUGAUCCUCUUGAAUUCUGGUUAUUGUGUGUGUUUCUUAUUCAAAGAUACCUAUGAAGUUCUGUGAAAGUUCAGAUUGGAUCCGAAACCUGGCUGUUUGAUUUAUAUGUUAUGGAAUUCCUUUAAAUGGUGUUUGGUUAUAGAGAUUUGGAAUUGAGUGCUGGAUCCUGGGAUUUUGUAAUCCUUGGGAGUUGAGGCUUACACAUCAUGGCAAGGAUUAAACCUCAAGCUCUGCUACAACAAAGCAAGAAGAAGAAGGAUCCAAGUUGUAUCGGUGCCACUACAGUUAUUUUAUACAGCUUAAUUAUAGUUGUGAUGGUGUUUUUCCUGUUUUCUACUUACAGACAUUGGACUCAGGUCUGUUGCAGUGGUAUCUACAUUUGUUUAAUAUCAAAAUAGAACCACAGAAAAUCCAACAAUUGGAUUGAUGUUUCUUCACCCAAUUCCCCAGUUGUUGUGGCCGCUUUGGCUGCUGAAGCAGAGCUUGCAGAAGAAACUGAACAACUCCAAGAGGGUGUUCUGGAAAGUGCUGUUGUUGUUACCCCAACUAAGCCCAAGAAAGGCAAAGCUGCAUUGCCUCUAAAAAGUGACAGAUCACCGUUGGCAGGCUUGAAAGGGCAAAUGGGGUCGGGGCAUGUGGGAAGUCUACUCCAGAAAUGGAGGCUUUGAAAUUGGCCCCUUGUGCAAUGGCAAAACAGGAUGAGAAAUCUGAUGUCCCCGACAACAGCUGCCAGCAGGUGAAGAAAUUAGGGCAGAACCCGGGCUGCCUUUGUGCUGUUAUGCUUUCUGACACUGCCAAGUUUCUUUCAAAUCUGUAAGUUUUGUUCAAACACCGGAUUUCCACUCUGAUUUGGCGUGCCUUGCAAGUCCUACAUUGGGUUGAGGUUAGAUCUUUUGCUUGGUUUAUUUUAUGCUUUGAUUAUCAAGUUUGUGUUUGCUUUAGGAAAUGGACAGAAACUUGGAGUUUUCGUGUUCAUGUUCUCCAUAUAGUUAUUAGUUAGCAGUAAU